UACGGAGGGUGCGAGCGUUGUCCGGAAUCACUGGGCGUAAAGGGCGCGUAGGCGGCGCGAGCAGUCGAUCGUGAAAGUCCGGAGCUCAACUCCGGAUCGGCGGUCGAUACUCUCGUGCUUGAGCACUGUAGAGGCAGAUGGAAUUCCGGGUGUAGCGGUGGAAUGCGUAGAGAUCCGGAAGAACACCGGUGGCGAAGGCAGCCUCCUGGGCCAGCACUGACGCUCAUGCACGAAAGCGUGGGGAGCAAACAGG
rnacentral:rRNA from 1 species